UUCGCUCUUCAACGAGGAAUCCCUAGUAAGCACAAGUCACCAGCUUGUGCUGAUUACGUCCCUGCCCUUUGUACACACCGCCCGUCGCUACUACCGAUUGAAUGGCUUAGUGAGGCCCUCGGAUCGACUUUCUGAGACUGGCAACAGUCUCUGAUUGUUGAGAAGUUGGUCAAACUUGGUCAUUUAGAGGAAGUAAAAGUCGUAACAAGGUUUCCGUAGGUGAACCUGCGGAAGGAUCAUUAAUGAUUUGGCGAACCUAACGUUAGUUAGGUUUUGCGAUCACUUAUUUAAAACCCAACUCUUAAAUGUAUAAUUUAUGUAUUUCUUGAUAAGAAAAAUAAAGAUCACUUUCAACAACGGAUCUCUUGGCUCUCGCAUCGAUGAAGAACGUAGCGAAGUGCGAUAAGUAAUGUGAAUUGCAGAAUUCCGUGAAUCAUCGAAUCUUUGAACGCAAAUUGCACUUUCUGGUAUUCCGGAAAGUAUGCCUGUUUGAGGGUCAGUUAAAUAAAAAUCGGUGUUAUUGCUAUUAUGGCGAUGCAUCGGAAUUGAGUCGUCUUUACCCUUGGUUUAAGUGACUUAAAAUUAUGUACGAUUUUUGAACGUAUUUAAAUUAUUUACUUAUGUUCAUAAUAUCACAUAUUAGGUGCGAUCAUCCACAUGAUUUUGCGCCUAUAAUUUUUCAUUAUUUGACCUCAAAUCAGGUAAGAAUACCCGCUGAACUUAAGCAUAUCAAUAAGCGGAGGAAAAGAAAAUAACAAUGAUUCCCUUAGUAACGGCGAGUGAAGGGGGAUAAGCUCAAAUUUUAAAUCUGCUAGGUUUUACUUAUCAGAGUUGUAAUUUGAAGAAGCGUUUUCCGCGUCUCGGUUGACCCAAAUCCUUUGGGAUAUGGUAUCAUGGAGGGUGAGAAUCCCGUCCGGUUGACUUUGUGACGCUUUACGAUACGUUUUCAAAGAGUCGAGUUGUUUGGGAUUGCAGCUCAAAAUGGGAGGUAAAUUUCUCCUAAGGCUAAAUACCGGCGAGAGACCGAUAGCGAACAAGUACCGUGAGGGAAAGAUGAAAAGAACUUUGAAAAGAGAGCUAAACAGUACGUGAAAUUGUUGAAAGGGAAACGAUUGAAGCCAGUCGUUCUGACGGAAAAUCAACUUUUCGGGUGCCUAUCGUGGGUGACGUUGAGCCUCACGGUCUUCGUUGCUUGUGUUUGUUGGUACCUUUGGAGUGCACUUUUUCGUAUGGUAGGUCAACAUCGAUUUUAAUCGUCAUAAAAUGAUCGGAGGAAUGUGGCUUCGAUUUCGAUUGGAGUGUUAUAGCCUUUGGUAGAUGUGACGAUUGGGAUCGAGGAUUGCAACGAAUACCCUUUGGGCUAUCCGUCUGGCCUCUGAAAGUCGCAUGGGUGCUGAAAGCUUGCUUAUAGUAUUCAAGUUGGCGGUCAACAGGUUAGAACGUGAUUACAUUCGUUAAGGAUGUUGACGUAAUGGCUUUAAACGACCCGUCUUGAAACACGGACCAAGGAGUCUAACAUAUGUGCGAGUGUU
rnacentral:rRNA from 1 species